GCGCAGUCCUCUAAAACAAGAAAAAAGAAAAAAGAAAAAAAGAAACGAAAAGAAAAGAAAGUAAAAAACAGUAUAAUCUGAAGCAGUCGCCGGGAGGCAUAGAGACAGUGGGGCUUGCCGGCUAGGGUCCGGAAGGGAGAGAGAUAGUUGAGAAGGGAGAGAGAUAGUGGAGCUCGCCGGAAAGAGAUAGUCGUAGUCGUCAUCUUGAAAUUUCUAGGUUUUCGAUCUUUGAUGCUUUGAACCUUCUUCUUCUUAAUUUCGUAGAGCCAUGGCUGCACCUUUCUUCUCCACGCCUUUCCAGCCUUUCAUCUACCAGAGUCCGGAAGCAGCUUUUAUACCUUUCCAAAUAUUGGGUGGAGAAGCUCAAAUAGUUCAGAUAAUGUUAAAGUCCCAAGAGAGGGUUACUGCAAAGCCUGGUUCCAUGUGCUACAUGUCUGGGUCUAUUCAAAUGGAGAAUAUUUAUGUCCCUGAAAAUGGAGGCAUGUGGCAGUGGCUUUUUGGAAGGAGCAUGACUAGCAUAGCUCUUCUCAAUCCUGGUCCGCAUGAUGGAUUUGUUGGAAUUGCUGCACCAUCUCUCGCGAGAAUAAUCCCGAUUGACCUGGCAACCUUUGGUGGAGAGAUUUUAUGCCAGCCAGAUGCGUUUCUUUGCUCUGUCAAUGAUGUUACAAUUACCAGCACAAUUGAUCAGAGAGCCCGUAAUGUCGUGGCAGGUGGAGAGGUGAGAAUCUUGGGAAUUCUAAAGCAAAAGCUUGUUGGUCGAGGGCUCGCGUUCUUAGUUGCUGGUGGAUCUGUUGUGCAAAAGAAUCUUGACGUGGGAGAAGUGCUGGUUGUCGAUGCAUCCUGCAUUGUUGCAAUGACGGGUACAGUUGAUUUCCAAGUCAAAUACUCUGGUCCCAUGAGACGGGUUGUCUUUGGGUUUGCAUUAACAUGGAUGGAUGGCUUCCCUGCACAGAAUCCAACAUGGCACACCUGUAAGAGAUCUGGAAUGUUCAUCAGUUUGGUUGCACUGAUCAUGCCCUGGCCAAGAAAUCAGACUGGUGCACAAAUCAGGGUGACAAUCUUUUGACGGCUGUUCUAACGGGACCUGGCAUUGUCUUCGUUCAGAGCUUACCCUUCCAUCGAUUUUCUCAGCGAGUUGCAAGAGCUGUCACAUCGCCAAGCAUGAGGGAAAAUCCAAAAUUCUUCAUUCAGAUUGUGAUAUUCUUUUUUCUUGCUUAUGUUAUGAUUGUAUCAUCAUUGAUCUUAACUGAUGUUUGAAUUUCAUGACUUUCAGUUCCUUUUCCUGCACUUUUCAAACCCAAUUUCCAUUCUUUUGCCUUCCAUUAGUUGCAAAUCUGAUUUCCUUUACGCAGUUAGUUAGAAAGAGGUCUCAUAUUUGGUUUAAGUUUUGAAGUAGCAGAGGAGAAAUGCCGCAAAAUUUUCUAUUCAGGGAAGUUGGUGAUUUUGUUAUCUAAAAUGUGAACAUGACAUGUGACAUUUGCUCUGACUAUAUGAUAUUUCACUGCUAUCUCUCUAGUUGAUAUGAGAAAAGAAUGAUUAGUAAUCCUUUACUCA